GGAAGCCUCGAGCAGCCGGCGCCGUCUCUGCCCCUGGGCGCCUUAUGGCUUGAAGAGAACAGAAGAGAAAGAGGAGAAGGAAUGAGAAAAAAGGGUGGCAGAGCAGGCUGAGAAUUGCUCAAAAGCUGAUAUAUCACAUCCUAAAGGAACUGGG